rnacentral:rRNA from 1 species
UACGGAGGGGGCGAGCGUUGUUCGGAAUUACUGGGCGUAAAGGGUGCGUAGGCGGCUUACCAAGUCAGGCGUGAAAUUCCCGGGCUCAACCUGGGGGCUGCGCUUGAUACUGGUGAGCUUGAAUGCGGGAGAGGAUAGUGGAAUUCCCAGUGUAGAGGUGAAAUUCGUAGAUAUUGGGAAGAACACCGGUGGCGAAGGCGGCUAUCUGGCCCGUAACUUGACGCUGAGGCGCGAAAGACGU